UAGAUAGAGGAGCAUUAAAUAAUAGUACAGUAGGGAGAUGGCAAUCUAUGAACUAUUGGAAAGGAGAUAAUGCCGAAACACUAACAAGGCAUUGUUAGUAGUUGGGAAUAUGGGAAAUACCCAUAUAACUGCCAUUGAAAAUGGGUGAGCUA
rnacentral:ncRNA from 1 species